rnacentral:rRNA from 1 species
AUGGCUCAGGAUGAACGCUAGCUACAGGCUUAACACAUGCAAGUCGAGGGGCAUCAUGGAGUUUGCUUGCAAACUCUGAUGGCGACCGGCGCACGGGUGAGUAACGCGUAUCCAACCUUCCCUAUAGUAGAGGAUAGCCCGGCGAAAGUCGGAUUAAUACUCUAUGUUUUCCGUUGCAGACAUCUAAGAUGGAACAAAGGCUUGCCGCUAUAGGAUGGGGAUGCGUCUGAUUAGGUAGUCGGCGGGGUAACGGCCCACCGAGCCAUCGAUCAGUAGGGUUCUGAGAGGAAGGUCCCCCACAUUGGAACUGAGACACGGUCCAAACUCCUACGGGAGGCAGCAGUGAGGAAUAUUGGUCAAUGGACGAGAGUCUGAACCAGCCAAGUAGCGUGCAGGAUGACGGCCCUAUGGGUUGUAAACUGCUUUUAUGCGGGGAUAAAGUUCACUACGUGUAGUGUUUUGUAGGUACCGCAUGAAUAAGGACCGGCUAAUUCCGUGCCAGCCGCGGC